rnacentral:rRNA from 1 species
GACGAACGCUGGCGGCGUGCUUAACACAUGCAAGUCGAACGGUGACGAGGAGCUUGCUCCUCUGAUCUGUGGCGAACGGGUGAGUAACACGUGAGCAACCUGCCCAGACUCUGGGAUAACAGUUGGAAACAGCUGCUAAUACCGGAUACGAGACGGAGAGGCAUCUCUACCGUCUGGAAAGUUUUUCGGUCUGGGAUGGACUCGCGGCCUAUCAGCUAGUUGGUGAGGUAAUGGCUCACCAAGGCGACGACGGGUAGCCGGCCUGAGAGGGCGACCGGCCACACUGGGACUGAGACACGGCCCAGACUCCUACGGGAGGCAGCAGUGGGGAAUAUUGCACAAUGGGCGAAAGCCUGAUGCAGCGACGCCGCGUGAGGGAUGAAGGCCUCGGUUGUAACUACUUUCUAGCAGGAAGAAGCGAAAGUAGACGGUACC